GCCUGGGUGGCUCAGUGGUUGAGCGUCUGCCUUUGGCUCAGGGCAUGAUUCCAGUCCUGGGAUCGAGUCCCACAUCAGGCU
rnacentral:tRNA from 1 species